CCUACGGGGUGCAGCAGUGGGGAAUUUUCCGCAAUGGGCGAAAGCCUGACGGAGCAAUGCCGCGUGGAGGUAGAAGGCCCACGGGUCGUGAACUUCUUUUCCUGGAGAAGAAGCAAUGACGGUAUCUGGGGAAUAAGCAUCGGCUAACUUCGUGCCAGCAGCCGCGGUAAUACGAAGGGGGCUAGCGUUGUUCGGAAUUACUGGGCGUAAAGCGCGCGUAGGCGGAUAGAUAAGUCAGAGGUGAAAUCCCGGGGCUCAACCCAGAAAUUGCCUUUGAUACUGUUUAUCUUGAGUGCAGAAGAGGUAAGUGGAAUUCCGAGUGUAGAGGUGAAAUUCGUAGAUAUUCGGAGGAACACCAGUGGCGAAGGCGGCUUACUGGUCUGCAACUGACGCUUAGGCGCGAAAGCGUGGGGAGCAAACAGGAUUAGAUACCCCUGUAGUC
rnacentral:rRNA from 1 species